ACGAUGGGUAGCUGGUCUGAGAGGAUGAUCAGCCACACUGGAACUGAAACACGGUCCAGACUCCUACGGGAGGCAGCAGUGGGGAAUAUUGCGCAAUGGGGGAAACCCUGACGCAGCGACGCCGUGUGAGGGAAGAAGGCCUUCGGGUCGUAAACCUCUGUCAGGAGGGAAGAACCCCCAGAGUCCGAAUAGGGCUCUGGGCUGACGGUACCUCCAGAGGAAGCGCCGGCUAACUCCGUGCCAGCAGCCGCGGUAAUACGGAGGGCGCAAGCGUUAAUCGGAAUCACUGGGCGUAAAGCGCACGUAGGCGGCUUUGUAAGUCGGGCGUGAAAGCCCUCGGCUCAACCGGGGAACUGCGUUCGAUACUGCGAGGCUUGAGUCCUGGAGAGGGUGGCGGAAUUCCGGGUGUAGGAGUGAAAUCCGUAGAUAUCCGGAGGAACACCGGU
rnacentral:rRNA from 1 species